UCUGAGAGGAUGACCAGCCACACUGGAACUGAGACACGGUCCAGACUCCUACGGGAGGCAGCAGUGGGGAAUAUUGCACAAUGGGCGCAAGCCUGAUGCAGCCAUGCCGCGUGUAUGAAGAAGGCCUUCGGGUUGUAAAGUACUUUCAGCGGGGAGGAAGGGAGUAAAGUUAAUACCUUUGCUCAUUGACGUUACCCGCAGAAGAAGCACCGGCUAACUCCGUGCCAGCAGCCGCGGUAAUACGGAGGGUGCAAGCGUUAAUCGGAAUUACUGGGCGUAAAGCGCACGCAGGCGGUUUGUUAAGUCAGAUGUGAAAUCCCCGGGCUCAACCUGGGAACUGCAUCUGAUACUGGCAAGCUUGAGUCUCGUAGAGGGGGGUAGAAUUCCAGGUGUAGCGGUGAAAUGCGUAGAGAUCUGGAGGAAUACCGGUGGCGAAGGCGGCCCCCUGGACGAAGACUGACGCUCAGGUGCGAAAGCGUGGGGAGCAAAC
rnacentral:rRNA from 1 species